CUCAUCAAAACACCAUCUGUCAUCAAAAUACAUCUCGAUUAGGGCUCAACUGUACUCAUCCAUCACUGCACUCAUCGAUUAAGAUUAUACCCAUCUGUACAAUCGCUUAAGAUUUCGAUCUAUUCGUGGGUUCUUCGUACUGGGGAGAAGAUAGAAGAAAAAUGGGUUUCAAUCUAGACAUCGAAAUACCAGAGUUGAAACUAGGGUUCCAUUUGUGGGUUCUUCGAUUUGGGGAUUUAGGGGUUUCUCGGCGAUUCUUGCUGGUUUGCCUUAUUUGCAGAGAAUCUGCAGCAGACCAUCUUCUCCAACCAUUCCAAGGCCUCUGCAUCACUACUUUCAACAAUUGGUAAUUGCAAUUCAAAUCCUCUUAGUAUUGUCGUUGCUAUUCUCUCCCGCAGUUCCCGCCAAGUCCCGUCGCUCAAUCUCUGACAUUGAGACAAGGCAGAAGAAGACCCAAUGUUAUGUUGAUAUUGAGAGGUGCCCAUCUAAAAUAUCCUUCAUCUCUUGGGUAUGAUUUUACUACUUUGAUUAGGAAUUUGGGUAUGAACUGGAGGUGGUAUUUCUUCUGUUUGGUUUAAUCAUGAUUAUGACUUUGUUGGUUUAAACAUCUCCACAGAAUAUCAUGAUUAUGACUUUGUUGGUUUAAUCAUUUGAUACUCAUUAAAGUAUAGCCAUAUAACAAUUAGAUCUAAUGUAGUAUGCUUAUGAUGUUCUCGAUCAGAAACGGAGCAAGGAAUAUUUGAGCAGGUUUUAAAAGGCGAACUCGAUUUCAUAUCAGAACGUUGUCCCAGCAUAUCUGAAAGUGCCAAGGAUUUGGUCAGGAGAAUGCUUGUGAGGGACCCAAAAAAGCGGAUAACAGCCAUGAAGUACUUCGUCUUUGGCUACUCAGAUCUACUUAGGUCUUUGGAAGCAAAUCAAAGCCGCUCUAGCAGGAACUCAUAGCUCUCUCAGCUCCAGCGUUUCUAUCAUCCCAAGUCCCACUAUCCAGGUAACAAUCACUGACAUUUUCUUCAAAAUUCAAUCAUCCCAAAAGGAUUUAUUGUGAUUUUUUUUUUCUGAAAACCCUUUGUUUUUUUUUUUUUUUUUUCCCCUGAAGUUUUCUUAUCAGUUUAAUUGAGCCAUCAUUCUAGUUGCCCGAGUCAGGUAAUUUAAUCUAAGAAUCAUUUCUCUCUGUUUUAAUGCUAGGAACCUAGGAGGAUUUGGUUAUUUAGCCUAGCUAUACUUACUCUCUGAAGCUUGCUGGGUUUUUGGUAUUUUGGGUUUGUUGCUUUGGUUCCUGGGGAAGUGAAGGUUGCUCCAUUACCUAUAGUAGUGCUUCCAUUGUUUAUGAUUCAUUAUACUUGAAGGUAGUUCAAAACUCCAACAUAUUCCAUCCUCAUACAUAUUUAUUUUCUUUUCUUAAACCUAGGUUAAUGUCUUAUGUUUAUGGAACAGGGCAGGAAGAUUACAAUAGACAAAGAUCAUUGAGCGCUAUCAUGGGGCAAAUGUGUGGGGCAAAUGUGUUCUCUCUAAUUAUUCUUGUUGGAACAAAGCUUGGUUAAACUCCACUUCCUUGCUUUACUUUUGCUUUGUAUUACGUUACUUGUGAUUACUUUCUUUACUUUAAUUGCUCUAAAUCAUGGUACUUUUCAAUUCCAGUAUG